CCUACGUGAGGCAGCAGUGAGGAAUAUUGGUCAAUGGGCGGGAGCCUGAACCAGCCAAGUCGCGUGCGGGAAGACGGUCCUAUGGAUUGUAAACCUCUUUAGGCGGGGAGCAAUGCCGGGCACGUGUGCCCGGCUGGAGAUUCCCCGCAGACUAAGCAUCGGCUACCUCCGUCCCAGCAGCCGCGGUAAUCCGGGGGAUGCGAGCGUUAUCGGGAUUUAUUGGGUUUAAAGGUUGCUGAGGCGGAUUUUUAAGUCAGCGGUAAAAUGUCCGGGCUCAACCCGGGCCGGCCGUUGAAACUGGGGAUCUGGAGAGGGCGAGAAGUAGGCGGAAUGCGUGGUGUAGCGGUGAAAUGCAUAGAUAUCACGCAGAACUCCGAUUGCGAAGGCAGCAUACCGGAGCCCGACUGACGCUGAGGCACGAAAGCGUGGGGAUCGAACAGGAUUAGAUACCCCUGUAGUC
rnacentral:rRNA from 1 species